rnacentral:rRNA from 1 species
UCCUACGGGGCGCAGCAGUGAGGAAUAUUGGUCAAUGGGCGUAAGCCUGAACCAGCCAAGUCGCGUGAGGGACGACGGCCCUACGGGUUGUAAACCUCUUUUGCCGGGGGACAAACGGCGUCACGCGUGCCUUCCUGCGGGUACCCGGAGAAAAAGCAUCGGCUAACUCCGUGCCCGCAGCCGCGGUAAUACGGCGGAUGCGAGCGUUAUCCGGAUUUAUUGGGUUUUAAGGGUGCGUAGGCGGGAUGCCCAGUCAGCCGUCAAAUACGGGGGCUCCACC